rnacentral:lncRNA from 1 species
UGUCACCUCCCAAGUCUCUAGAGCAGUCUAUGCCACUGUCAUAUCUUUUUUCUUGAACCAUGACAUUCUGAAAAAGUGAUUGUAACUCUUUUUUCUAUUAUUUCACAAAGGUUGUACUGUCAAGCACUCUCCAGGAUGUAUAUUUUUAAGAUUUGGCUUCCUCCCUAGAAUUUUGAACUCUUCAGAUGCAAUGGUAAUGGGCUUGAAAGUCAUCUAUGAACUGGAGUUUCUAUUAAUGUGACUAACAGAUUUGGCAGGGUAGCUUCUUGGUGCUUGAAGUGCUGAUAAAUGCUGAUUUUUAGUGGUUUUUCAAUUGAAGAUGUGCUGAUGACAACAUCCGAAACAUAACUUUGUUCUCCUAAGAGGAAAGAGGAAAAUAUCUGUGAGAAGUGAAAGAAGUAUUAUUGGAGUCACAGACCCUUCACAACACCCAGGAAAGCACACUGUUAGAAUUGCAUUUACUUCACCUCCUGGUGUGUCACAUACAAUGUCAAGAAGAUAUUUUUAUGAAGUAAGUCCUAUCAUUUUCACCAUAUUACUAAAGUUUUCCUGAACUGCUCAAUGGGAAUGUUUUAAAUCUCACGUAGACUUUCUA